GUCGAGCGGAACGAGUUAUCUGAACCUUCGGGGRACGAUAACGGCGUCGAGCGGCGGACGGGUGAGUAAUGCCUAGGAAAUUGCCCUGAUGUGGGGGAUAACCAUUGGAAACGAUGGCUAAUACCGCAUGAUGCCUACGGGCCAAAGAGGGGGACCUUCGGGCCUCUCGCGUCAGGAUAUGCCUAGGUGGGAUUAGCUAGUUGGUGAGGUAAGGGCUCACCAAGGCGACGAUCCCUAGCUGGUCUGAGAGGAUGAUCAGCCACACUGGAACUGAGACACGGUCCAGACUCCUACGGGAGGCAGCAGUGGGGAAUAUUGCACAAUGGGCGCAAGCCUGAUGCAGCCAUGCCGCGUGUGUGAAGAAGGCCUUCGGGUUGUAAAGCACUUUCAGUCGUGAGGAAGGUGGURGUGUUAAUAGCWSUAUYAUUUGACGUUAGCGACAGAAGAAGCACCGGCUAACUCCGUGCCAGCAGCCGCGGUARUACGGAGGGUGCGAGCGUUAWUCGGAAUUACUGGGCGUAAAGCGCAUGCAGGUGGUUUGUUAAGUCAGAUGUGAAAGCCCGGRGCUCAMCCUCGGAAUAGCAUUUGAAACUGGCAGACUASAGUACUGUAGAGGGGGGGUAGAAUUUC
rnacentral:rRNA from 1 species